rnacentral:rRNA from 1 species
UACGGGGGGAGCAAGCGUUGUUCGGAUUUACUGGGCGUAAAGCGUGCGCAGACGGUCAUGUAAGUCGGGUGUGAAAGCCCCGGGCUCAACCUGGGAAUUGCAUUCGAGACUGUGUGGCUAGGGUGCGGAAGAGGGAAGCGGAAUUUCCGGUGUAGCGGUGAAAUGCGCAGAUAUCAGGAGGAACACCAAUGGCGAAGGCAGCACUCUGGGACGUGACUGACGCUGAGACGCGAAAGCGUGGGGAGCAAACAGG